rnacentral:rRNA from 1 species
ACACGACUACAUUAGAUACCCGCGUAGUCCCAGCCCUAAACGAUGCGCGUUAGGUGUAUCGGUGACCACGAGUCACCGAGGUGCCGUAGGGAAGCCGUGAAGCGAGCCACCUGGGAAGUACGGCCGCAAGGCUGAAACUUAAAGGAAUUGGCGGGGGAGCACCACAACGGGUGGAGCUUGCGGUUUAAUUGGGUUCAACGCCGGAAAUCUUACCGGGACCGACAGCAACAUGAAGGCCAGGCUGAAGACUUUGCCGGAUUAGCUG